GCAACUGAAACAUGAGGUUCACAAACUGUCACUUACCUCAAUCUAUCUCUCCCUCACUCACAUACACAAUGCAAGUUCUUCAUGCUCCAUCUUCUCCACACCUUUCUAUCCAAAGCUCAAAAGCACCACAACUAACAUGGGGUUUGCUUCCUUCUGUGAGUGUAAAUUCUUCACCUUUUUCCACCCUUCAUUUUUCUCUUCACUCCCAAAGGAUCCAUCGUUUACUUUGGACCCCCCAUAAAAGGGUCACCUCCAGAGCUGCUUCUGUUGAAGUUGGCGAUUCUUCAGUACCAACUGGAAUGGCUGAGGAUGAUGUGUUGAAAGCCUUGUCUCAGAUCAUUGAUCCUGACUUUGGAACAGAUAUUGUUACUUGUGGAUUUGUUAAAGAUCUGCAGAUUGAUAAAGCUCUAGGAGAGGUAUCGUUUCGGUUAGAGCUCACCACACCAGCAUGUCCAAUCAAGGACGUGUUUGAGCAGAAGGCAAAUGAAGUGGUGGCAAUGCUCCCUUGGGUCAAGAAUGUAAAAGUUACAAUGUCUGCACAACCAGCAAGACCUAUAUAUGCUGAGCAACUUCCAGCAGGUCUACAAACAAUUUCAAAUAUUGUGGCUGUGUCCAGUUGCAAGGGGGGUGUGGGAAAAUCAACUGUAGCAGUAAACCUUGCUUACACUUUGGCUGAUAUGGGUGCUAGAGUUGGCAUAUUUGAUGCUGAUGUUUAUGGUCCAAGCUUACCAACUAUGGUCUCUCCUGAAAACCGACUAUUAGUAAUGAAUCCAGAGAAGAAGACCAUAAUUCCAACUGAAUACAUGGGAGUGAAGUUGAUCUCUUUUGGAUUUGCAGGACAAGGACGUGCAAUAAUGCGCGGCCCCAUGGUUUCUGGAGUCAUUAAUCAACUUCUGACUACUACUGAGUGGGGUGAGCUGGAUUACCUCAUUAUUGACAUGCCUCCUGGAACUGGAGAUAUUCAACUCACAUUAUGCCAGGUAGUACCAUUAACUGCUGCUGUAAUUGUUACCACUCCUCAAAAGCUGUCGUUCAUUGAUGUUGCAAAAGGAGUUCGGAUGUUUUCAAAACUUAAGGUACCUUGUGUUGCUGUUGUGGAGAACAUGUGUCAUUUUGAUGCUGAAGGAAAACGAUAUUACCCAUUUGGCAGGGGUUCAGGUUCUCAGGUUGUUCAGCAGUUUGGAAUACCUCAUCUAUUUGAUCUCCCUAUUAGACCAACUCUCUCUGCUUCUGGAGACAGUGGAAUGCCGGAAGUGGUGGCUGAUCCUCAAGGUGAAGUUUCCAAGAUAUUCCAAAAUCUAGGAGUAUGCGUGGUUCAGCGGUGUGCCAAAAUACGCCAACAAGGUAUUCUAUUCCUGCUUGACGAUGUUUGAGAAGAAAAUGCCUGUUACCAAGUCUAUUAAUAAAAAGAUACUUAAGCUAGUUCUUCACUUGUAGGUGUGGUAAUUGAAAUCUUUAGUCCCUUUUCUCUUGUAGUUGUUAAUCAAUGUUUAGUCCCACUAGUGUAUUUUAUACUUCUAAGAGAAACAAUAUGCAGUUUUUCCUUUAAAUAUGCAUUAACUAUAUACAUUAUUAAACUCAACAAUUAUGCACUAACAAGUCGUUGAUCUGAGUAUAAUUGAACUUAGUCCCCUUCAGUAAGUUCUCGGAUUCAAGUCUUGUGGAUUAAAUAAAUGUGGUUGAAAGAAGAGAGAGAGUCACUAAAAGUGACUAGUUAUGUUCCACCCAACAAAGAUUAGUCAUUAAAAAAGUCGCUUAACAACUAUGCCAUGUUAUAGGUGGUAAUUGGGAAAGUUCCUUGCAAAGGACUGACUAAUGCUAUAAACCAACCCUACCCAACCUUGUUUUAUAUGGUUUGGGUUUAUCAGUUCAUGAGUUUUAGCUUGGAUGGUUGAGUUAGAGAAUAUAAAAAAGUUGUUGGGUUAAGUUUGGGUUGUGCUUCAACCGUAACUAAUCAAGUCAAUGUAUGUUGGAAAAUCUUAAAUUUCUAGAGAUUCCGAGAUAUCCGAGAUAUCCGAGAUAUCCGAUUUAAGUUAUCUGGAAUUAUUUGAUUUAUCUUUUGAGUUAUUUUGUUUCAGAUUAGAUAAGAUAGUUUUUUGAUAAGUUUUGAUUUGAUAAGAUAUUUUAUUAUCUUCUUGUUAGUUCAGUACGUUGUAAAAUGGCUAUUUAAAGGCCAUCUCUUAUUCAAUAAAAAACACAGUGAGUUGCUACG